GAGAGGAGGCGGAGGUGGAGGAGGCGGUGGCCGGGACCUGGUACUCCAGCCCCUGCCUAGCGGGACCAGACCUGGGAUGUAAAAUCGCUCCCAGGCUUCCCAGACCCACGCACAUACGCGCGCCCACCCACGCCCAGCCAACACUCGCCUUACUGUGCUGAGCACCUGACUGGGAGCCGGGGGGACACAAAGGCCCACCCCCGGGCCCUGACCGCAGGUGAUGGCGUCCAGAACUAGAUGUGCAAACCAAGCCCGGGAACUUGUGCGGGAGGGGGCCGAGAGGGUCCGCAGAGCCGAUCGGGCAGAACCUUGAAGAAAGCCCGAAAUUUUAAGACGGAGGUACAGGGCAAGACGGGCUGUACAAAGGCUCGGAGAUGGGCGAUGAAUGGCCUAUCCGGGGACUGCAAGCCCGGGGACGGAACUGGCCGCCUACAGGUGCUGGAGUCAGGGUGGGAGGAGCCGGAGAUGCCCACGAGGGAGGGAAUGUGGACCUGGGCAGCCCUAGAAGGUCUCGAUUUGCGGCCGCUGGGCGAAAACCCAGAGGGCCGGUUGGAGGACCACAGCUCUGGGCUGUUUGCGGAGCCAGCGGCGAGGAGGACCUGAAAGAGCUCCCCCUGGUGGCGGCCCCGGGCUGGAGCCGUGACCACUGAGCAAGACCCCCGAGAAAGAAGGCGAGGAGGAACCCCCUGCGUCCGCCCCAGACACCGCCUCCUCCACCGCCCCGGCGCCGCUUGUUUUCCCGCUUUUGCUUUUCCGGAAAAAGAGCGAGGAAGGCAUCCAGCUAGGGCACCCCCCGAGCAGAUCUGCGCCUCGGGGAGACCCAGGUUCAAAGGAGCCCCUCAGUGGGGGCCUCCCCCAGCCAAACCUUUGGGGUCGUGGCUGUCCGAGGCACGUUUCCCUCUGGAAGAGCUUCUCAGAAGCGGGGCUCCCCCCUGCGUUUUCGUUUGGGGAUGAAGGGGAUGGAUCUGGCUGGCAAGGCCUCGGAGACCAGGAGCUGUCCAGCAGGGGGAAGGAAUGACGCCGAGAGACUCAGAGGGCACCGCAGAAGACCUGCAUGAACUGAUGCAGCACAACAGAGCAGAACCGGGAACUCUGGGUCCAGAGGAGCCUGCAGAGCGGGAAGCCCUCAGCGGUAGCCCCUUCCUGGCGGUGCGAAGCAGGAAGCCCACGUGGGAGCCCCCCCCCCCACACACACACACACAGAGAGCUAGCGGGAAGUUGUUCCGCUGGACAAUCUUUACUUGUCUCUCGGUGGACUUUCUGCGGGGGGGGGGGGGGGGGGGGGGGAAGGAGAACCCAACCAAAUGGAAGCUGGUGCCAAAUGCCUUUUAAAAUGCCUGGAGGAGACCCGAAGGGCUGGGUCUGGGGUAGGCGCCAUUUACAUACAAUCUGUGUGUCUCUUUUACAAAGGAAAAGCCCAGCGUGUGUCCUGUGCAUUCCUCAGCCAAUCUCCUUUGUUCUCUUCCCGGAUACUCGGAGAUGCCCCCGGACAGGCCGCGGUCCAGCUAGAAUCUCUUCUUUCCUUUCGGUGGAUCUCAGAGGCGAGGAUCCCAUCCCACCUGGAAACCCCACCUGCCCUGGGAAGUCUGUUGGACUUGAUUUGGAUGCAGUCAGGAAGAUGGCGCCUCCCCCCCUCCCCCACCUCAGUCUGGCUACCGAGCCUGCCAUUCCCCUGAGACUUCCUCUCCACACGGACACGUGCUGAGCGCUCCUCCGGAGGCCAGUCACUUAGUGUGGAACCUCGGGCAGUUGGCUCCCUCUCCAAGCCCCUUUCCGCUUCAGAAAUUCUCUUCCAGGCCCAGCAGUUUCUCCGAAGGGGAAGCUGGGAGGCCACCUGACAGACCAGGGUAGUUAAUGAAGGAUCCCUUAGGAAAUGAGAGCGAGGGGGGGGGGGGAUAGGCAGAGGGGGGAUCUCUGCCCAAGCACUGCCCUUCAUCAGAAGGAAACCAGCACCCAGGAGAGAGAGGCUAAGGACCCCCUGCCAGGAGCUCAUUCGGGGACUGGAGUGGACCAGGGAAGGGCUCCGAACUCUGCACUCCAGGGGCUCAUCAGAGACCUGUGUGGAGUAGAUUCAAGCUGUGGGUGAUCUGGGGCUGAGGCCCGGGGGCCAGGAGCCCUGACUCCUACUGCCCAAGCAGUGAGAGGAGAUCAGAAAGGCAGCACAAGCCAGCUUCAGAGCUGCAAGGGGCUUUGGAGGCCAUUCAGUCCAGCUCCUCUCACUUUACACAUGAAAAAAAGAUGAGGCCAAGGAAGGUUCAAUUACCAGCCCAUGGCCCCACGGCUAAGAAGUGCCAGGUGGAAAGGCAAGACUUGAAGCCUUCCCAACUCGGUGUAGAGCUGUAGUACCUCGGACCCAGGCUGCCUGGCCUGUAGGGAAUCUGUGCCUCUAUGGACAGAUUGUCUGGAUGUUCUUGGAGGAGACCAGCCUUUGACUUGUCUAGAUCUCUGGCCCAUGGGGCUGGGCAUUGCUUUUCUUUUUUCCUUCUUGUCUGGAUAGAUGUAAGGCUGGCAGGUGCUAAUUCUAUGUUAACUGAACUGAGGCCCUUCCUGAGGGAGAGCCCUGAUCAGCUGAAUAAUGGGCCAAAUUAAACAAGGAAGAAACUGUCACCGCAGUCAGUGUGAGGUCUAAAAUCUGAGAUUCAAAGUCAACUCUGCUUCGAAGGAGGAUUGUUAGCUAGACAGUCUGGGGUUUGGGGAGACAACCCUAGAGGCUCAGGAGGAAUCCAUAGGGCUAUCAGGAGGCCAGAAAGGCCAGGGGAUCUUGGGGAGGAUCAGAGAGACAUGGAGGUGGAAGGCCCAGGGUUUUCUGCCUAGCCAGAGCUGUGGAUUGGGUUCAGUUUGGGAUCCACAGUCUAGGUAGGAGGCCACUAAAUGGAAGAUGGCUCAGGAGAGGAUGCCUGGAACAAAGAGACCUUGGGUUAAUAAUGAUGGGCUGGAGGAAUUUUCUGAGGACAAGAAAUGCUUCAUUUUUUUGGCCUCAGUAUGCCCAGUGCCUGGUGCCAUAGUAAGCCCUGAGUUAAUGUUUAAAAACAAAAUAAAACAACCCUUACCUUC